CACCAGGAGGCUAUGGUGAGGUUGUCUGGGGAAAGGACUGCAGGCUGGAAGGCCAGAGGUCCAGGACUGACUGCGUCCUGACAGGCUAGUCACCCAACCUUUUGAGACUUGCUUUCUCCAUCUGGGAAAUGAGGACACUCAGACCCACUCGUCGAAUGGCAAACACGUAGCAUGGAUCUCUGUCAGUCUAUGAAGGGAAAUCCAAGUUAGACAGGUGCACAUUGGCCAUGGAACCACAGAAGGUGCCUCAGCCUCCCAGAGAGAGCCACAUUCAUUGGGUUCAAGUCAAGGCAAGAGUGCAGGUGAAGCCAGACCUGGGAUGGGGAUCAGUGCUGUGUGUGGACCUGGGCCCGGGUAACUGUUCCACAACCCCAGACCACCCUUACCACAACACUCCCCCCACCCUCCUGCCAAGCAUCAGCCUUUCCUAGCUAGGAUGGCUGGCCCCUAACCACAAAAGCAUCUUGCAGACUUGCUGUGAUGAUCUGAGGCCACCUGCUGCCCAUUUCCCUGCCCUGGCACCUGGCUUAGGGGCUGGCCUUGGCCUCCUCAUGAAUGAU